GGCCGGGUAGCUCAGUUGGUUAGAGAGUGAUGCUUGUAACACCAGGAUCGCCGGUUCAAUCCCCGCCUGGGCCA